rnacentral:rRNA from 1 species
GGUCCCGAGCGUUGUUCGGAUUCAUUGGGCGUAAAGGAUGCGUAGGCGGCUUCCUAAGUUUGAUGUGAAAUCCUGGGGCUCAACCCUGGAACUGCAUUGAAUACUGGGAGGCUAGAGUACUGGAGAGGAAACUGGAAUUUACGGUGUAGCAGUGAAAUGCGUAGAGAUCGUAAGGAAGACCAGUGGCGAAGGCGAGUUUCUGGACAGUUACUGACGCUGAGGCACGAAGGCCAGGGGAGCAAACGGG